GAUGAACGCUGGCGGCGUGCCUAAUACAUGCAAGUCGAGCGAACAGAUAAGGAGCUUGCUCCUUUGACGUUAGCGGCGGACGGGUGAGUAACACGUGGGUAACCUACCUAUAAGACUGGGAUAACUUCGGGAAACCGGAGCUAAUACCGGAUAAUAUUUCGAACCGCAUGGUUCGAUAGUGAAAGAUGGUUUUGCUAUCACUUAUAGAUGGACCCGCGCCGUAUUAGCUAGUUGGUAAGGUAACGGCUUACCAAGGUGACGAUACGUAGCCGACCUGAGAGGGUGAUCGGCCACACUGGAACUGAGACACGGUCCAGACUCCUACGGGAGGCAGCAGUAGGGAAUCUUCCGCAAUGGGCGAAAGCCUGACGGAGCAACGCCGCGUGAGUGAUGAAGGUCUUCGGAUCGUAAAACUCUGUUAUUAGGGAAGAACAUACGUGUAAGUAACUGUGCACGUCUUGACGGUACCUAAUCAGAAAGCCACGGCUAACUACGUG
rnacentral:rRNA from 1 species